rnacentral:lncRNA from 1 species
CUAUAUUGUCCUCCCAUCAUUUGGUCCUGGAGAAAUUAGCUUAUCAUCUGGUUAAAUGCAAUUUCGCCAUUGUUUUAAAUGACGUAAUUGACUCAGCUGCCUUGACAUCUUGCGGGAGACUAUUCCAUAGAAUUGCUCCACUGUAUCCAAAUGUUUUCUUUAGAAAUUCCGUUUUCGGUUUUUUUAACGAGAGAUCAGUUUCG